AGAGUUUGAUCCUGGCUCAGGAUGAACGCUGGCGGCGUGCCUAACACAUGCAAGUUGAGCGAGAAAUCACUUAAAGAAGCUUCGGUAGACUUAAGAGAUGGGGAGCAGCGGACGGGUGAGUAACGCGUGGGAAACCUGCCCUUGACAGGAGGAUAGCCGAGAGAAAUUUCGAUUAAUACUUCAUAAAGCAGAGCAUUCGCAUGGAUGAACUGCCAAAGAAUUAUCGGUCAAGGAUGGUCCCGCGUCUGAUUAGCUGGUUGGUAAGGUAGCGGCUUACCAAGGCGACGAUCAGUAGCCGGCCUGAGAGGGUGAACGGCCACAUUGGAACUGAGACACGGUCCAGACUCCUACGGGAGGCAGCAGUGGGGAAUAUUGCACAAUGGGCGAAAGCCUGAUGCAGCAACGCCGCGUGAAGGAAGAAGGCUUUCGAGUCGUAAACUUCUGUCCAAAGGGAAGAAUAAUGACGGUACCUUUGAAGAAAGCCCCGGCUAACUACGUGCCAGCAGCCGCGGUAAUACGUAGGGGGCGAGCGUUAUCCGGAAUUACUGGGCGUAAAGAGUAUGUAGGUGGUUAAGUAAGCGUAGGGUUUAAGGCGACAGCCCAACUGUCGUAUGCCCCGCGAACUGUUUAACUUGAGUACAGGAGGGGAAGGCGGAAUUCCUAGUGUAGCGGUGAAAUGCGUAGAUAUUAGGAGGAACACCAGUGGCGAAGGCGGCCUUCUGGACUGUAACUGACACUGAGAUACGAAAGCGUGGGUAGCAAACAGGAUUAGAUACCCUGGUAGUCCACGCCGUAAAC
rnacentral:rRNA from 1 species